rnacentral:rRNA from 1 species
GGGUUGUGAGGUUAAGCGACCAAGCGUACACGGUGGAUGCCCUGGCAGUCAGAGGCGAUGAAGGACGUGCUAAUCUGCGAAAAGCGCCGGUAAGGUGAUAUGAACCGUUAUAACCGGCGAUGUCCGAAUGGGGAAACCCAGUGUGAUUCGUCACACUAUCAUUAACUGAAUCCAUAGGUUAAUGAGGCGAACCGGGGGAACUGAAACAUCUAAGUACCCCGAGGAAAAGAAAUCAACCGAGAUUCCCCCAGUAGCGGCGAGCGAACGGGGAGGAGCCCAGAGCCUGAAUCAGCAUGUGUGUUAGUGGAAGCGUCUGGAAAGGCGCGCGAUACAGGGUGACAGCCCCGUACACAAAAGCGCACGUGCUGUGAGCUCGAUGAGUAGGGCGGGACACGUGGUAUCCUGUCUGAAUAUGGGGGGACCAUCCUCCAAGGCUAAAUACUCCUGACUGACCGAUAGUGAACCAGUACCGUGAGGGAAAGGCGAAAAGAACCCCGGCGAGGGGAGUGAAACAGAACCUGAAACCGUGUACGUACAAGCAGUGGGAGCCCCACCACUAAGCCAGUGGUGAACUCCACAUACGCAUCCUUUGCUGAGGAUGCGGUUAACGGAGCGAAAGCGACGUUCAACCGCAAAAGAAGCAGAGGGGGCUUAGUGGUGGGGUGACUGCGUACCUUUUGUAUAAUGGGUCAGCGACUUAUAUUCUGUAGCAAGGUUAACCGCAUAGGGGAGCCGGAGGGAAACCGAGUCUUAACCGGGCGUUAAGUUGCAGGGUAUAGACCCGAAACCCGGUGAUCUAGCCAUGGGCAGGUUGAAGGUUGGGUAACACUAACUGGAGGACCGAACCGACUAAUGUUGAAAAAUUAGCGGAUGACCUGUGGCUGGGGGUGAAAGGCCAAUCAAACCGGGAGAUAGCUGGUUCUCCCCGAAAGCUAUUUAGGUAGCGCCUCGUGAAUUCAUCUCCGGGGGUAGAGCACUGUUUCGGCCAGGGGGCCAUCCCGGCUUACCAAUCCGAUGCAAACUGCGAAUACCGGAGAAUGUUAUCACGGGAGACACACGGCGGGUGCUAACGUCCGUCGUGAAGAGGGAAACAACCCAGACCGCCAGCUAAGGUCCCAAAGUCAUGGUUAAGUGGGAAACGAUGUGGGAAGGCCCAGACAGCCAGGAUGUUGGCUUAGAAGCAGCCAUCAUUUAAAGAAAGCGUAAUAGCUCACUGGUCGAGUCGGCCUGCGCGGAAGAUGUAACGGGGCUAAACCAUGCACCGAAGCUGCGGCAGCGAACGUAUCACCCAAGACAACUUUACACAGUUGACGCCUGACGGAGCGAAGCGACGUCAAAGCGUUUUACAACGUCGAGUUGGCUUAGGGAUACGUUCGUUGGGUAGGGGAGCGUUCUGUAAGCCGUUGAAGGUGUGUCGUGAGGCAUGCUGGAGGUAUCAGAAGUGCGAAUGCUGACAU